AUUGAACGCUGGCGGCAUGCCUUACACAUGCAAGUCGAGCGCGAAAGGGGGCAACCCCGAGUAGAGCGGCGGACGGGUGAGUAACGCAUCGGAACGUGCCCAGUAGUGGGGGACAACCUCGAGAAAUCGAGGCUAAUACCGCAUACGACCCACGGGUGAAAGCGGGGGACCGCAAGGCCUCGCGCUAUUGGAGCGGCCGAUGUCCGAUUAGCUAGUUGGCGGGGUAAGAGCCCACCAAGGCGACGACCGGUAGCUGGUCUGAGAGGACGACCAGCCACACUGGGACUGAGACACGGCCCAGACUCCUACGGGAGGCAGCAGUGGGGAAUUUUGGACAAUGGGGGCAACCCUGAUCCAGCCAUGCCGCGUGCGGGAAGAAGGCCU
rnacentral:rRNA from 1 species